CUUUAGGUACAGCUUUAUCACCUUUGUUGUUGUUGUUCCACCCUGGCUUCCAAGAUGGAUUAAUACUCGAAGUUCCUAACGGCUACCUAGCUGUCCCUUUCCUCUUCAGCUGUCUCUCUACCAUCAUAGCCACAUGCAACAUAUCUUCCAACUCCACAUAAUGUUGCAACUCCACUACAUUGGCAAUUUCCCUAUUCAACCCAUUCAAGAAUCGUGCCAUGGUAGCCUCCCGGUCCUCCACCACAUUGGCCCUAAUCAUGAGUAUUUCCAUCUCCUUAUGAUAGUCCUCUACACUUUUCGACCCUUGAUAUAGACCUUGCAGUUUUUGAUAGAUCUCUCCGUAAUAGUGGCUAGGAACAAACCUCUUUCUCAUCAAUGACUUCAAUUCCUCCCAAGUGCUGAUUGGUCUUCCCCCACUCCUACGUUGUGAAAUAAUCACUUGAUCC
rnacentral:lncRNA from 1 species